AUACAAUCAGUUUAUCAACACAUCAGCUGUCACACCAAACACAAGAACUUCCACCGCCACGACAAUCACAACACACACCACAAUAUGUUUUCAUUUUAGUGGCUGUGUUUUCUGUAAUACUGUUACUGGCAUUUCUGGCAUUAUCUUCUAGAUGUGGAGAGGAUGAAGUGCCAUGUUCUGAUGUAGUCUAUGUUGAAACCAUCUACACCAGCUCAUGCACAGAACGACCCAGUAGAGAUCCCUGGGCAUAUCAAUACCCAUGCUAAAAAUCUUGAAAACAGGAUUUGUUCAUUUUAAACCUCAGAAUUCAUAUACACAUUGUUUAGACUGGAGCUUAUAGUCAUUGCAUUUUGAGAAUAUACUUGUACAAAAAGCCGCCUGAUUCAAAGUGGUAACCACUGAAUCAUGAAAAAUAAUUUUUGUCUAUACAGUAACUGUGUGCAGAAAAUAUUGAAUCUGUAAUUGAGCAUUUUUGAGCGACUUAUUUAAACAGCCAUGUGUUUUAUGUUACAUGUUUGGUAAUUGUUUGAAGCAAAAGUAUUAUGCUAAAAGUCUUAUAAUGUCCUGCUUUCUGAAA